rnacentral:rRNA from 1 species
AAGCGCUCAUGACCAGACGCGGGCCUGUUUGAUCAACCUGGGUUCUCCCGGGUGCACUCUUUCAGGCUCGGGCCAGCAUCAGCUCGCCGCGGGGGACAAAGGCUUCGGGAAUGUGGCUCCCCUCGGGGAGUGUUAUAGCCCGUUGCGCAAUACCCUGUGGCGGGCUGAGGACCGCGCAUCUGCAAGGAUGCUGGCGUAAUGGUCAUCAGCGA